CUCAUCCUCCAUCGUUCCCUUCUACUUUUGCCUUCCAUCUUUCCCAACAUCCUCCAUAUCAGUUACAGUUCUCAAUUUGAGUUAAAUCUUCUUUCCAUUAGGCCAUAAGAUCCUGGUUCACUUUCAAGCCGGUCAUUAUCUUCAGUGAGCUUUUCAAUAUCCUUACUAAAAUGUGGACCCAGAACUGAAGGCAAGAGUCCAAUUGUGGACAGAAGACACUGGGACCAUCACCUACCUUGAAAUGAACACUGUGCUUCUCAAUCCAGACUUUGAUAACCCUGGAAGAAAGAGUGAGGAUGCUAACUACAAGCAAUUCUGCUUCCCUAAAACCUAAUGCGUGUGUGAGUCAAGACAUCAUCCUGUGAUUGUCUUUAGUCUGCUUCAAAAACAAAGAAUGAACAACAAAAAGAUGCUAUUUACCCUCCUUCUCGCUUGAGCCUCAAGUAAGCCUCUUGGGAGAAGGUAUCAUUUUCUUUCUUAUCUUUGUAGUCAGGGUCUAUGUGGCCCAUCUUGGGUCCUUAAUAAAUGUUU